rnacentral:rRNA from 1 species
CCUACGGGAGGCUGCAGUGGGGAAUAUUGCACAAUGGGCGCAAGCCUGAUGCAGCCAUGCCGCGUGUGUGAAGAAGGCCUUCGGGUUGUAAAGCACUUUCAGCGGGGAGGAAGGCGGUGAGGUUAAUAACCUCAUCGAUUGACGUUACCCGCAGAAGAAGCACCGGCUAACUCCGUGCCAGCAGCCGCGGUAAUACGGAGGGUGCAAGCGUUAAUCGGAAUUACUGGGCGGAAAGCGCACGCAGGCGGUCUGUCAAGUCGGAUGUGAAAUCCCCGGGCUCAACCUGGGAACUGCAUUCGAAACUGGCAGGCUAGAGUCUUGUAGAGGGGGGUAGAAUUCCAGGUGUAGCGGUGAAAUGCGUAGAGAUCUGGAGGAAUACCGGUGGCGAAGGCGGCCCCCUGGACAAAGACUGACGCUCAGGUGCGAAAGCGUGGGGAGCAAACAGGAUUAGAUACCCCUGUAGUC